CCUGCAGUUCCUCUCCUCUAGGAGGACAGGCUGCUCCCUCUAGGGCUGCUGGACCCACCAUUCUGGUGUCAGAGGGCGAAGGUCAAAGUAGGUCCCAAAUUGCACACGUGAAGAAUUGUACCCUUCUUCAGAUGAGGAAGAAGACCAGGCUGCGGAUGACCUGUCCAGGUUCAUCUACCCCAGCCUGCAGCCCCAAUUUGGGCUUCUCAGACGCAACAGCUCAUUGUGACAGAGGCUGUCCUGUCCAUUGUAAGAUAUUGAGCAGCAUCCCUGGUCUCCACCUACUAGAUGCCAGGCAGCAAACCCGCCAAAUUGUGGCAACUAGUCGUGGCUCUAGAUAUCAGCAAACAUCCUCUGGAGGAAGAACUGUCCCAGGCUGAGAACCGCUGGUUCAGAGAAAAGCUCACAUCACUGCAUUCAGCUCUGCUGCUGCCAUGGGGCCAAGCGACCUGUCCUCUCCAGGCUCACUUCCUCGUCAGUAGAAUGAGGUUCACAGCACCCCACCCAGGAUCAUGCUCUGAGGACUCAGUGUGAAGAUAACUAAGCAUCUGAUGUGACCUAUGACAAGUGCUCAAUGUGCAAUAAAAAUAUUUGCUGAGCCUUCUCCUAGAGAAAAUAAUGUUUUGCUCCCAUCUGGAACUGCCAAAAGGCCGGAAGUUAGCUAUGGAAAUAGCGAUACACCUGUUAUUGUGUGUGUCCUGCAGCACUGCAGAGGCUGCGGUUUUCAUGGAGCUGAGAAAGACAGCUUUAGGGAAACUGUAAGUGCUGAGCCCCAGGAGCAGUUGGUCAGGAGUCACCAGUGUCCAGGAGUUAGGACCUGAUGGAUGUCUUUGUGAUCAAGCUGCCAUCCCUAUGUCACCUCAGUCCCAGCAAAUUCACUUGCUCAUCUUGUCUACAGAGAAGCUCAACCAAUGGCUUUAAACAUGAGAGGCUUCUGUUCCAAUGGAUGGUUCAAUCUUCAGCCAAAGCAUCAUCAAGUGUGGGGGCUGGAUUGAAAUUUUUGAAGUCUUUUAAGCCCUGUGGACCAGAAACAUUAGAACCCGAGGCGAUUAUCACUCCUUCAUCCCAGACCCACUGAAGCAGAGUCUCCAUUUAACAAGAUCCCAAGACCAUGUGUAUGCUUUUAAGACUGAGGAGCACUGAUACUAGUGGAGAGUCCCACAUUUUAAUGGGCGUCAUUAAAGUAGCAAAACCUACUGCUUCCUGGACUACUUCCUAUAGGUCCUGAAUGGCAAAAAGCCCAGAAGAUUCCCAUGGGAGAAGUAUCUCUGAAGCAUAACCUGUGCUUUGUAAUCAGCCGGACCCUGAAUCCCAGCUUGGCUCAGUUUGGUGGCAGCUGGGUCUCUUCAGAAGUCCGAACUCUUUUGGAAAGUGUCAGAAACCUAGUUCGAACUGGUUCAAGUUAAAAGAUUUCUCGGAAACCAUUGUUGGAAAAGGACCUACCAUGACUUGUAGAAGGUGGAAUUCACUUUGAG